GGAUCAAGCGCUUCCUUAUCAUUCAAAAUCGAAAUUGGCUGGAACUUCUUCUUCUUUCUUUUACGAAUCCGGCUUCUCUUGAGUGAUUGCUUGAGUUAAGCUUAAGCCUUCUUGACUAGUUUUGAGUCCCGAUUUUCAGUCCUUAGAUGAUCUUUCGGGUCUUAGUUCUUAGUACAAUGGAUUCCAUAGGUUUUUCCCGUGCUCUUCUGAAAGAAGCAUCUGGAAAUGACUUGUCAUGGGCUUAUGCGAUGAAGAAUGAUUUGCUCGGGAAAAAAAUUCUUGUGCUUAUGUGGAUGGGUCGCUCAAUUUCCCAAGACUAGAGAAGGGGAUUUUCCUACAAAAGAUGAAAAGUGCUUAGCUUCAAAGGAUGACUUGUUUACUUCCUUUGAGCCCCGUCACCUCUUUUGCGACUGCUAAAGAUAUUUGGUUUGACGAAUGUAAUCCCAAGAUCUUUCUGGAUACUAUCUCUGUAUCCGUCCAUUAGGUGGAGUCCACUUGAGUGUACUACUUUGCGACGAUAUGCCGGACUUGUUCAAUUGGUGAACUUGAGAAUGUCGAGUUAUUGUUGUUCAUAUUGUCUGAAAUCCAUUUUCAACCCUCGCGAAUCGCGAAUACGGGAGCUGCUACUGAGUACUGAGUGAACGGGCGAAAGGAGAUUGGAGAUAAAUCCGUUCCACCUUCAUCGCAUAUAAAUGGCUUAGCGAACUCAAGAGCACCUUUGUCAGAGACUAGCUACUUUUCGACCGAUAUAGUUAGGUCAUAGUUAGGUCGCAGUCCUAUCAGGGGGCCGUAUACACGUUUGCAACCUUUUCGUCGGCGAUAACAAUGUCGUCACCGAGAAUGGCUUUUUGAAAACCUUUUCCCUCUAUAUACUUUAUAUACUUUCUCAGCCGCACACUAGCAUACUAACAUAUGGUGAGUUAGUUUAAAUGCAGGCGUCAAACCAUUUAGCCGGGUUAGGGGUUGGUGAAGUCGGUAUUCGCGAAGGAAGAAUGCUCUUCAUCUCCCCUCGCCGUAAUUAUCUCUGGAAGUCGCCCCUACAACCCCUUGACUCCUGCGGGCUACGUUCGAACGAAACGAGAGUAAGGCUUUCUCCACGAGAGAACAGACUGACUACUUGGAGAGGGGCGCCUAGUUAACGGAGUUCACGAGGAAGCGACUUUAGUUAGUGAAGCGAGGCCUCACACAUCAAACCAUAUCUUUAUCUUACUGAACCGAGUGAGGUAUAGACAGAUUAUACCACAGCUUGUGUUGUGGCGAGACGAAGGGACGAAGCCAGAGGCUCCCUUGCUUGCUUUUGCUUACCGGACAAGAAGGAUUAUUAGACCUAUUAAUUAUUAAUAGACUAUAGCGAACCAUAAGGAAGACCCUCGUGGUCUCCCUUUGACUUGCUAGGAAACUGAGAUCACACUCUUUCCUACUCCAGACAAGUAGUACGGGAUACGGACUAUAACUCAAGCCUACUGCUCCGUACAGAGUCAGGAUUCAGGGAUUUCAAACACUCUAAUGGACUAUAACAGCUGAGUAGUACAAGUACAAUAGCCCUGAGUGACUCUUGGCUGCCUUCAGUGAUAGACGCAAUUACUUGGACGAUUCUAUUCCUACGAAUAGAGACCGCAGAGGAAGGCGUUGUCACGAGACCCGCCCUCCGGGAUAGAAAAAGCAAAAAUCCUAAGUGGCGGGUAUCUGAACCGUAUUCUUGUUCGGAUGCUUGAAUCGAACUCAUCUGUUUAUUUACGGCAAACCUUGACCAUCGUUUCCAACGUUUCCAAGGGAAAUUGAUUGAAUGCACGAUCACGAGCCAUUCCCACCGACCCAUCAUGAGGUCACAUCUCAUGAGUCUAUCGUGCCAAAACUACUAAUGCUGACGAAUGCUUCGCCCUGACUAGCUAGUCUGGGAAGGUAGGUAAGUAAGAGGCGGAUCUAGGGCUUCUUCGACUUCUUAUUCAUAGUUGAGAUACUCCCAACCUCCACCAGCAAGCAGCACCGGAGUGAAUCGUAACGUUUCGAUCUGGGGGUCAGGAGCAGAGGUUGUAGUAUCGUAGCUAAUGCUCUUUGAUCACCGUCACGAGAUUUGACUAUAGCUAAUCAAUCUCCUGCUUUCAUGGAGUUUGGAAUCUUAAUGCUAUCUUAGAGCGGAUCUAGAAAUCCCCAGGUAGUGGUAGUUGGCUUGGUGAAAUCCGAUAAUCGAUUGGCUUUAGAAAGGCGAAAGGCGGCUUGCCCAACCUAGACAUUGUAACUGAAAGUCCUGCCUACUUCUCUUCUAGGCUUAGGGUAGUCCUAGACUACCUUCUUCUUUGCUGGCUUGGGAAAGACCCGCGGGCUAUGGAUCCCACUAAUAGAAUGGGACUAUAACCAACCUUCCAUGGUCUAGGUUCAAGGACAAUACAGAUUGUGGCUUGGAGUAUCUAAGGAAGGGUAGUCGUUUAGUGCGACAGCACUCUGGCUUCAUGGACCUAAUUUUUAGGGACGGACUCGCUAGUGUCCCAGGGGUGACACUACACACUGAAUUGCCCACAACACUAUUUUUCCACAGGACUGAAUCCAUAGAAACCUUGGCCAUUACUUUAAGCGGCGGAUGAUUGGUAUGCAGGAUCGGUUGCAACGGUUUCACAUUCAUGUGAAUCAAGAGAUUGGCUUGAAAGGCUUUCCAACUAGCCAUAGUACCAUUGCGAGUUGUCCUUCUUCUUUAAUCGGUCGCACCAACUUGUUCCCGCUUUGGGAAGGGAACUUGGUUGGAAUUCCAAUUUCAAAGAAAACACAUGCGAAAGGCAAGACAUUGAGAAGGGCUUGUUCUUGAAUUAGAUGGAACAUUAGCGGUCUUAGGUGAUUCUCUAACAAAGGAAAGAAAGGAAUGACUAUUUAUAUCAAGAGACAGGCUUGCUAACCUUCGGGCAUAGUGACUAGUGACAAGAGGAGUUGCUUAAGGACCUACGAAGAAAGUGACCGAAGCAGAGUCAAUUCAUAUUAAAACAAGAGGAGAGAAUUCAAUGUCAAUCGACAUCUCCUUGGCACACGUGACGGAUCAUACUUUCUUGCCUUAGACCACUAUCGAGGCUAUGAGUUUUCAUAGGACAGAUGAUCCUUUACCGUGAAGGUAGUUUACUUGCUUACUUGUUAAAGUAAGGCAGAAAGAGUACCUGUUGUUAACAAAACGGAGUCUCAAAAGCUCAUUUAUCGCAGUGGUCUCAAAAACGAAAUUAUCGUAUUUUAGAAAAAGAGGUCUAUAAAAGUCACUUAAGAAAGAUGGCGCCUUUGCGAGGAUGUCUUGAAUCAGCCAAUGCCAAGGCAACAAGGCUAGCAUCAAACCUACCUGCCGAGAACCCUCCAACAUUCCUACCAAGGUUCCCAUCCCCGAUGACAGAAGAAGGACGUAACCGGUGUUAAGGUUAGAAGGGUAACUGCUCUCGUAGUCGUAGCCGCUCUUGGGACUGAUUCCUUAAGGAAAUGGAAUUCUUCCUAAAUUCCCAUGGAAGGUGUAGAUGUUUAGGCUUGCCCCUGCUGCUGCUAGAGAAUAGGUCGUCACUUUCUUUGCGGUUGAUGCGCUUAAAUCAACUAGUAGAAGGAAGGUGGCACAGUUCAACUAGUAGAAGGAAGGUGGCACAGUUAAUCAACUGAAUCCGCGCUUAGAAAGAAUAACUUUGAAGCCACGUUUAGAAUGGUCAGCACCUUUUGAGAAGAAUUGCUCUUUGGAGAGCUAAAUAUAAGGGCGAUGAAAGUUGUAAGCCGUAGAAAGGAGAUUUUGUUUGUUCAUAGACAGAAACUAAUUGUGGAAAUUCACUCUUUUAUUCUGAGUGCGCAGAAUGGUGCUUUGCGGCUACUAUGGGUCUUCAAAAGGAACCAGGGGCAAAGACAUCCUAAGAAGUUUGCCUAUGGACUCUACCUCAGCGACCUUCUUCCGUACUUUCACGAGAAAGCAAGCUAUCGACCUUAUCUCCGUUAGUUUUUCAAGAUCAGUGAACCCGGAUGUCAACAUCUCUAUGGGGCCUACUCUAGUCUUUUAUCUGCGGAGAGAUGGUCGUUUACAUGCUUACUUACUAAAGUACGGGAAAGAAAUAGCUUACAAGAACAAGUAAGAGAGUUGACUUGCUUACUUUAACAAGUAAGGGAACUGAGGUUGCUUACUAAAGUAAGGGAUUGUUGACCCUUUCAAUCUUGUUUGUACCCACGGGGCACAUUGAACACCAACUCAACUAAAAAGAGAAAAAAGGGUACUCACUCGUCGGUAAGGGAAAGGCUAGGCUUUUCUUACGCUAAUUCUUCUCUUAUUAUAUUUACUAGAUUUACUAUUGCACUGAGCCCUAUUCUAUCUCGGGUAACCUGAUUACGGCUUUUCCGACUAGGCGCCCUACCUCUGCUCGUUACGUUAGCAAGCAAGCCAUCGUAAGAGACGCAGGAAAGCAAGCUGAAGAAGAAAAAAAAGGCUUCCGCAUAGGCUCUCCCGAACCGUUACUUUAUUCUAAUUCGAACUUAUUUACAAGGAAGCCCUAUGGCCUCAACGCUAGGCAGGAACAGCAGAAGAAUUCAAAGCGCUAAAUAGGAAAUCGAAAAAGGCCAAGCUACGAACAGUACCCUUUUCAACAGUAAAUAAGCUCAAGAGCUAGGAGUUCGAUGUCUAGGUUGAGGCUCACUCAUUGAAGUGUGACCGUAGAUCUGGUCUUUCCCAGGAAAGAAAGCAACCAGGUCUUUUUUCGACCCUUAAGAGCAAGGUCCGUCCCACUCUCUCAUCUACACAAUUGUCCGAUCUCAGAUGCUUUGUCGGAGAUUCCAGAUUUGAUUGCUAACCAUGACAUCAGUCUUUCCUCCGUCAGGAGGUCACGAAGGUGAGGUCCUGAGAGAGAUAGAUGCUUCACACAUGGCAUCCGAUUGAAAGAAAGAGAUGGGUUGGCAAUAAAACAGCCAUUUCAUUAUUUUCGCAAUUUAAAGAUUAAGGGAAAAUUGCGUAUAAUAUAGAAAUAAAGAUGAUUCGCUUUUUUUAUCUUUCUUUAGCCUUUCGUGGA
rnacentral:lncRNA from 1 species